CCUACGGGUGGCAGCAGUGGGGGAUAUUGCACAAUGGGGGAAACCCUGAUGCAGCGACGCCGCGUGAGUGAAGAAGUAUUUCGGUAUGUAAAGCUCUAUCAGCAGGUAAGAAAAAAGACGGUACCUGACUAAGAAGCCCCGGCUAACUACGUGCCAGCAGCCGCGGUAAUACGUAGGGGGCAAGCGUUAUCCGGAUUUACUGGGUGGAAAGGGAGCGUAGACGGCAAUACAAGUCGGAAGGGAAAUACCCGGGCUCAACCUGGGAACUGCUUUGGAAACUGUAUGGCUAGAGUGCUGGAGAGGUAAGCGGAAUUCCUAGUGUAGCGGUGAAAUGCGUAGAUAUUAGGAGGAACACCAGUGGCGAAGGCGGCUUACUGGACAGUAACUGACGUUGAGGCUCGAAAGCGUGGGGAGCAAACAGGAUUAGAUACCCCAGUAGUC
rnacentral:rRNA from 1 species